UUCCAGUUUUAUACUUGAAAUAAAAAGCUGGUUUAAGGAAGGGGGGGCGGGGUUUCCCGGAAAUAAUCUACGGAGCAAGGCGGGCAAGGAAGAGCUCAAAUGGAGAGUCACCACGUGCUGAGGAGUGGAGGUCUCAAGACUUUCCUGGAAGUUGAGGCCUUUGCCGCGGACUUAAACCAACGUGCGUCCCCCACGCCCUUCACCAACACAGUAGCGGUUAUGACAAGCGUCCAGGUUGGGUUGCAUGCACGUACAUUCCUAUCCACACGCUCACUCCUUCCGUGCAUGCUUAUGGGCGGCACAGUGGGUGCAAAAACGUCGGUGAGAAUGCAGAACGGUGAGUGGCAGCAGAAUUCCUGGGUUAAACUAACGCAGCAUUUAAAAGAAGGGGGGGCCCUUGCAGGACAUUUCUCCCCUUCUCCAAGGAAGGGUUAUCCAAGGUGCUUGGCCGUGGGAGCCGGGCUGAAGGCACCUGCGGAAGAGACUCGGGGGGCGGCGGCGGUAACUCGGGGUUGGCGCUGUGCGAAGCUUUACGGUAUCAGUGGAGGGAAGCAGCGGGGGGGGGGGGCAGGGACGGGAACGUGCAUCGUAUUGGGGCGCUGUGCUCUUGCGGGGGACCACGACCCCCCAAAAACGGGACGUCCGGAACAGUUGUUCCACGGACCCUCUAGGUGGGUUACGCUGGGUCUGGGGACCCCCUGUUUACAGGAAAUACGAGGGAGCGGUGACAUGAUAGAAGCCUAUAAAAUUACGCAUGGCAUGAAGAAAACGGAUAGAGAAUCGUCUAUCUCUCUCUGUUAUCACACUAAUCUAGAACUUGUGGACACCAAACGAAGCUGAAUGCAGCAAGAUUCAGGACACAGAAAAGGAAGUCCUUCUUCACGCAGCACAUGGAACUCUCUCCCACAAGAGACAGUGACGACCACCAACUUGGAAGGCUUUCAAAGAGGAUUGGGUGGACUGUGACUGGCCCGGGUCACCCGGAGAGUUUCUAGGCUGACGGGGGCGGCGGGGUGUUUGGCAGAGGCAUACCCAGGAGCCCCCGCAAGAGGCUACCCUCCGGGGAAGGCGCCCAAAGCCCAUUGGAGAGAAACAGGCACCAUUUGCCCGGCAGGCGCCCGCGUGCUCCAAGUGGCCUCGACGGUGGUCUGUGGGUCCACUUGGUUUGGCCGUCUGACGCAUCUCCCUUUGAGCCUUAGCCGCCUCGAGCGGCAAUCUGCUGGAAAUGGAGGUAUAAAAAUGACCCAUAAACGAAUUCACCGACUUGGGGGUGAAGAGUGGGAG